GAGACAGUUCCUUUCAUUUGAUCACUUGAUCCAUUGACAGCUGAAAUAAAGCGACAUCGGUGCUGAGACAGAUUGUCUUAGUUGGGUAACUCAGGUCAACAUUUUGUACACUGAAGAACCCGUCCUUCAUUUGCAAUCUGCUCACAUAUCACAUUCCAGCUGCCAUCCUUAUACUAAGUCCUGUCAGUUCACAGGAAAAAGACCUCGAGAUGUCUUCUAAAAACACUACCGCACCAGAGCCCACCGCAGAAUCAACAAUGUUCCCUAAGAUAAUGACCGAUCAGGAAGUGUUUCUGACUUAUGGCGUCGUCUUGUUUGUCCUUGCUGUUUUUUGUGUAAUUCUUCUGAUCCUGUAUAUCAAGUUGAAGAAUAGGGUGAAUAAUAUCAUUAAGGAUGAAGCCAUGUCCAUGAAAGUACAGCAAGGUGAGUCUUACUGUUUCCAAGUGGUAGUCUUACGAGUCGGAUGAAC